CCCGGUAUUGUGUCCUCUCUCCCGGUGUUGUGUGCUCUCUCCCGGUAUUGUGUCCUCUCUCCCGGUGUUGUGUGCUCUCUCCCGGUGUAGUGUGUCUUUCCGAACGGACGAGGCGCUGUUAAACACACACUCGAUACUUAGCGCACACCGACCGUCAUUCUCUCUCUCUCUGCUUGGAGUGUAUUUGGAGACCUCCAUGGCCACGGGGAGUUGAGAGGGCAAGACGGAAAGGCUUGUUGUCUUUCCCGUUUUAAUACUACCCAAGUUGUCCUUAUGCCGCGUUUCACACACUACUGUUCUCGCCACUAUCUCCGAUGCGGUGGAAAACGGGGUGCGGGCUUUCAGAUACGGUAGGUUGUAUACUUUAAGCCGCUAAAUACGGGAUGUUUUGGUUUUAUUUUGUAGGUAGCUUGUUAGCCCUUUAGCCAAGCGGCGGGGGGUGAAACGUGCCUUCGCUUUCUUCUUGUGUGUUUUGAUCCGUGACCGAAGGGGCUGGUUGCGCUUUGAUCGAUCAAACGGCGUCGGGAUGUUCGUAUCCCGUCCGGGUUAGUUUAGUAAUCUGGCUCAUGUUUACUGUGUUAAAGUAGUGUGUUGCGGGCCACCUCAAGGGGCUGAGUGGAGGACAGGGAAGGCAGCAGGCCCGUCUUGUGUGGAGUUUGUUGCCUUGUCCCCCCCCACCGUCUUUCGGAGAGGCGGAGAUGAAUGGGAUCUCACUUCAACGCGAUGGGAGGGAGAGGCUGGCUACGGUACCGGAGGAAGCGAGAGGACUGGACUAACCGGCUGGCUACGGUACCGGAGGAAGCGAGAGGACUGGACUAACCGGCUGGCUACGGUACCGGAGGAAGCGAGAGGACUGGACUAACCGGCUGGCUACGGUACCGGAGGAAGCGAGAGGACUGGACUAACCGGCUGGUUACGGUACCGGAGGAAGCGAGAGGACUGGACUAACCGGCUGGCUACGGUACCGGAGGAAGCGAGAGGACUGGACUAACCGGCUGGCUACGGUACCGGAGGAAGCGAGAUACGGUACCGGAGGAAGCGAGAGGAAUGGACUAACCGGAUAGUUACGGAAGAACCUCUCAUCUCCAGCUGUUCUAGAGGUGUGGGUGUGACCGGUGCCCGACCCAGUGGUCCCCGACCAGAGACAUGAGUGUGGUCCGAGACCCACAGGGGGCGUACA